rnacentral:rRNA from 1 species
UGGGGAAUAUUGGACAAUGGGGGCAACCCUGAUCCAGCCAUGCCGCGUGAGUGAUGAAGGCCUUAGGGUUGUAAAGCUCUUUCGCACGCGACAAUGAUGACGGUAGCUAAGGAGCAAGCCACGGCUAACUACGUGCCAGCAGCCGCGGUAAUACGUAGGUGGCAAGCGUUGUCCGGAAUUACUGGGUGUAAAGGGAGCGCAGGCGGGAAGUCAAGUCAGCUGUGAAAACUAUGGGCUCAACCCAUAGACUGCAGUUGAAACUGAUUUUCUUGAGUGAAGUAGAGGUAGGCGGAAUUCCGAGUGUAGAGGUGAAAUUCGUAGAUAUUCGGAAGAACACCGGUGGCGAAGGCGGCUACCUGGCCAUGUAUUGACGCUCAGGUGCGAAAGCGUGGGGAGCAAACA